GAUGAACGCUGGCGGCGUGCUUAACACAUGCAAGUCGAACGGUGAAGGCGGAGCUUGCUCUGCUUGAUCAGUGGCGAACGGGUGAGUAACACGUGAGCAAUCUGCCCCUGACUCUGGGAUAAGCGCUGGAAACGGCGUCUAAUACUGGAUACGAGCUGCUAAGGCAUCUUCAGCAGCUGGAAAGAACUUCGGUCAGGGAUGAGCUCGCGGCCUAUCAGCUUGUUGGUGAGGUAACGGCUCACCAAGGCUUCGACGGGUAGCCGGCCUGAGAGGGUUACCGGCCACACUGGGACUGAGACACGGCCCAGACUCCUACGGGAGGCAGCAGUGGGGAAUAUUGCACAAGGGGCGAAAGCCUGAUGCAGCAACGCCGCGUGAGGGACGACGGCCUUCGGGGGGUAAACAUCUUUUAGCAGGGAAGAAGAGAAAGUGACGGUACCUGAAGAAAAAGCGCCGGCUAACUACGUG
rnacentral:rRNA from 1 species